CAGAAAGGAUGAAUUCCAUGUCAGGCUUUGCUUAGGAGAUCACAGUGUUCUAGUUACAUCUAUAAAUGGUAACUUUAUAGAUGCCUCAAACUGCACUACAGCUUUGUGGUUUGGGUCUUCUGUUGGUAAUUAUCUUUGUCGCUUGUGUAUUUUUUGCUGUAGUUGUUUUGAUGAUGGCUAAAAUAUAUAAUGACUGUGGGUUUGGGUUUUAAGCCCUACACUUGAAUUCACAAAAGGAUGUUUUCUACUCCCUAGACCUAUGGAGACAAUAACUCAUGUGUUGUUUCCAUUCUCAUGUAGGGGUGGGAAGGCAAGUACAUGAGAGGAGGAAGCGAACGCUUUGGAGUAAGUGUCGGUGUUAUGUGGACCAGAGAGGUUAGAGUAAGGAGGGGUGUUAGAGAGCAGGGUGUGAAUAAACAUAUCUGUGAAGGACUUAGUGACUUUAACACUAGACAAGAGUGGAGGUGGGAAGAAUGUAACUCCAUGAGGGAGGUAAUUGGGUCUGAACGCUUAGUGGCUGUUUUCUUUCAGGUGUGGAAGGCAGGCACAGUAACAGAUGGGAGGCAGUGGGAGGAGGUACUGAAUGAUACCCCAGAGUUUAGGUCAGGUAACAGGUCUUUCCUCUGGAAGACACAAGGCCAGAAGUAGUUUACCUCUGAGUCCAAGGGUCAUAACAGAGGUAAAGUGACAAACUCUACCUCAACCCCAUCCAACACUCUGCCCGAAGCCUCCCCACCUCUCUUCAAGUAUUAACUGCAAUGUCCUUGUCUGUUGCAAAUAACACAAUUCACAACACACAACAAACAAUAAGUAGUUGAGCUCUUCUGCCCCUGUCUCUUUCUCUAGAAUCAAAGUGGAUCCUUUUGGAUGAGUCCAGACAUCUUUUCCAUUCUCCUUGAGGGAAAGAUAUAUAGGGGCCAUGAAUGAAACAAGAAAGCAGUCAUAAGAAGGAUGGCUUUGAAACAAACUUCAGCAAGUGAAGAGGUGCAGGGUGGGGUCUUCUAGGUUACUGCAGGCAAUGGGGGAAGAGCUGGAGUGAUCGAAGCCCAGUUCUGCCUGCCAGGCUGUUUAUCUCUAAGUGUCAUCAGCACCAAGUAAGAACAGCCACCUGCCCUAGCUCCAUCUCAGGGAGUCACAACAGGAUGUGGUUUGACAUUUACCAGGUCCUACAUCUGGGGUGCCUGUGAAAGUUCCUCCCCUCACCCACAUUCUGAGCAUUGUGGGAACCGCACUUGCCACAUCCUGUCCCCAAGCCCUUCUCGUACAAUCCUUUCUACCUUAGCCUCUGGCUGUCACCAUGACAGCAAGGAAGAGCAAGAGGGUCUCUAAAGGGGAAUCCAUGUAUCUCAGCUCAAGCCCCCACCUAACCUCUCUCACACCUGCUGGAGGUCACACAGGGUAGAAGCCAGCAGUGUGCACCAUGGAGACAGCUGCAAUAACUGCUCUGACCUCAUUGGGGUUCCUCUGGCCCCACACUGCUCUGACACUCCCUCCCCCACACUACCUCCAACCUCCUUUCACAUGUAUUUUCCAUUCCUUCUACUAAUGUAAUGAGAG
ensembl:lncRNA